UGCCGCGUGAGUGAUGACGGCCUUAGGGUUGUAAAGCUCUUUUAACAGGGACGAUAAUGACGGUACCUGUGGAAUAAGCCCCGGCAAACUUCGUGC
rnacentral:rRNA from 1 species